rnacentral:rRNA from 1 species
GUCCACGCCCUAAACGAUGUCAACUGGUUGUCGGGGAAGCAAUUCCUUGGUAACGAAGCUAACGCGUGAAGUUGACCGCCUGGGGAGUAUGGCCGCAAGGUUAAAACUCAAAGGAAUUGACGGGGACCCGCACAAGCGGUGGAUUAUGUGGAUCAAUUCGAUGCAACGCGAAAACCUUACCUACCCUUGACAUGUACGGAACCCUUCAGAAAUGGAGGGGUGCCCGAAAGGGACCGUAACACAGGUGCUGCAUGGCUGUCGU